GAUUCCGUGGGUGUUCGCUCGUGUGUGCGGGGUCUUCAACAAGCUCUGUCUCCCUGAGGCUCAGGAAGAGAGGUGAGCUGCCUGGGGGUGCUCACGACCUUUCCGACAGUAAACCAACCGCCAACGACUCCUGCAUCGCCGUUGCCGCUGAGGGACAGAAAUGAAAGAAAGAAACACAGGCUGCAAACCCCUGACUCCCCAAUUUGGGACGUGAACGUGAUGAAGCCCGAUUGACUGCGUGGUUCCAGGUCUAUCCUCGGUGGUUCCAGGUCUAUCCUCGGUGGUUCCAGAUCUAUCCUUGAGACCAGCGGUUUUAAAGAGGCUCCCUGGACCACCGGCACCGGCAUGGCCUGGGAGGUGGUUGUAUAGGUAAGUCUCCAGGUCCCACCCGAGACCUACUGAGUCACAG
rnacentral:lncRNA from 1 species